rnacentral:rRNA from 1 species
CGAACGCUGGCGGCGUGCCUAAUACAUGCAAGUAGAACGCUGAAGGAGGAGCUUGCUUCUCUGGAUGAGUUGCGAACGGGUGAGUAACGCGUAGGUAACCUGCCUGGUAGCGGGGGAUAACUAUUGGAAACGAUAGCUAAUACCGCAUAAUAGUAGAUGUUGCAUAACAUUUGCUUAAAAGGUGCAAUUGCAUCACUACCAGAUGGACCUGCGUUGUAUUAGCUAGUUGGUGGGGUAACGGCUCACCAAGGCGACGAUACAUAGCCGACCUGAGAGGGUGAUCGGCCACACUGGGACUGAGACACGGCCCAGACUCCUACGGGAGGCAGCAGUAGGGAAUCUUCGGCAAUGGACGGAAGUCUGACCGAGCAACGCCGCGUGAGUGAAGAAGGUUUUCGGAUCGUAAAGCUCUGUUGUAAGAGAAGAACGAGUGUGAGAGUGGAAAGUUCACACUGUGACGGUAUCUUACCAGAAAGGGACGGCUAACUACGUG